rnacentral:rRNA from 1 species
AGCGAACGCUGGCGGCAGGCUUAACACAUGCAAGUCGAGCGGGCACUUCGGUGUCAGCGGCAGACGGGUGAGUAACACGUGGGAACGUACCCUUCGGUUCGGAAUAACGCUGGGAAACUAGCGCUAAUACCGGAUACGCCCUUUUGGGGAAAGGUUUACUGCCGAAGGAUCGGCCCGCGUCUGAUUAGCUAGUUGGUGGGGUAAUGGCCUACCAAGGCGACGAUCAGUAGCUGGUCUGAGAGGAUGAUCAGCCACACUGGGACUGAGACACGGCCCAGACUCCUACGGGAGGCAGCAGUGGGGAAUAUUGGACAAUGGGCGCAAGCCUGAUCCAGCCAUGCCGCGUGAGUGAUGAAGGCCUUAGGGUUGUAAAGCUCUUUUGUCCGGGACUAUAAUGACGGUACCGGAAGAAUAAGCCCCGGCUAACUUCGUG